ACUGGCCACAAAGAAGUUUAUUACUUGGAUCCAAAAACGUUCUGCACGAGCUCUUGAUUGAACCUUCAAAAGCACUGCUAGUACCUUUGCAAAUCAAACUGGGUUUCAUGAAACAGUUCGUUAAAUCUUUGCCUGCAGAUGGACCAUGUUUGCAGUAUCUCUCAAAAAAUUCCCAAAUAUAACCAGUGAGAAAAUUAAAGCAGGAAUAUUUGUUAGUCCUGACAUUCGUAAACUAAUGAAAAUCCCAGAUUAUGAGAAAUCUAUGAAUGACUCUCAAAACAAGCACGGGUGAGCUCAAGUGUGUUGUCGAGAACUUUUGGGGGAAGUAAUAAGUUUUCAAAUUACAAAGUCGUAAUUAACACAAGUUACAAAACUUCAAGAAGCUUGGGUGCAACAUGAGUGUUAAAAUGCACUUUUUUCACUCACACCUCGACUAUUUCCUGGAGAAUCUCGGCAAUCUAUGUGAAGAGCACGGUGAGAGAUUUCACCAGGACAUUAAAGAAAUGGAGCGGAGUUACCAGGGGAGGUGGAAUGUAAACAUGAUGGCGGAUUACUGCUGGACCCCAAAGAGAUACUGCAAGCAACUACCAAAAGCUGGAAGGAAAUCAAAGAAAGAAAGUUUGAAAAGGAGUAAAAUCACUUUAAAUCCAUGAGCCGUGGUAGACACAACAACUUGCUGAGAACCACUCCGUCAACUCCACUGGGAUGACUUAACCAACCUUUCGACUUCACCUAUGCUGACCACACACUAACCCAGAGGCGACCCAGCUAGCAGAUACCACGUUAUGAAAAGCCAAGCAACCAAAAAAUAAAAUUUAUUUAUUAUGAUGUUAUUCGCUAA